rnacentral:lncRNA from 1 species
UAUCAGACAAAAUGGAGCCUAUAGGAUCACACACAUAAGGAAAUUGAUCUAGGAUUUAACAUUGGGCUUUGAAAGUCCUAAUUGGGUUAGAAUUUAUGAGAAAACCUAAAGGAUUUAGGUUCCCCAUGCUAGCACAUGGUUAAAUCCAAAUUCCUCAUAAAACUUGGACUUUUUAUGAGAUAGGGAGUUGAUUAGUCAAAACACACACAAAGGGGUGCUAAGUAUUGGAUGCCCACACCUAUUUCACAUCAAACAAGGAGAAGGAGCAGCGACUAAAGUAAUUUGAAUGCCUAAGAGAGGAGUGAUUGAGAGUCCUUCUGGGAUUGGGUUUUUAAUCUGAUUAAAACUCCAUGGAACAAGGACUCUUAAGGAUCUAUUUAAAUCUCAAAUCCUAGGGAUUGAUAGAAGAGCCAAGAGAAUCCAUGCCC